rnacentral:rRNA from 1 species
GACGACGCUGGCGGCGUGCCUAACACAUGCAAGUCGAACGGGACGAUUUAAAGAAGUUUUCGGAUGGAAUUAGAUCGUUUAGUGGCGGACUGGUGAGUAACGCGUGAGCAACCUGCCUCGGAGAGGGGGAAUAACACCGGGAAAACCGGUGCUAAUACCGCAUAAUGUGCGAAGGGGCAUCCCUUUUGCACCAAAGGAGCAAUCCGCUCUGAGAUGGGCUCGCGUCCAAUUAGAUAGUUGGUGGGGUAACGGCCCACCAAGUCUGCGAUUGGUAGCCGGACUGAGAGGUUGAACGGCCACAUUGGGACUGAGAUACGGCCCAGACUCCUACGGGAGGCAGCAGUGGGGAAUAUUAGGCAAUGGGCGGAAGCCUGACCCAGCCAUGCCGCGUGAAGGAAGACGGCCUUAUGGGUUGUAAACUUCUUUACUAUGCGACUAACUAGAUUUACGAGAUAAUUCUAUAGAAUGUAGCAUAGCAAAAAGCACCGGCUAACUCCGUG